UGCCCUGGGCACCCUGAGCACCAUACUAUGUGGAGCCCUCAUCAGCUGCCUGACUGGCCCCACCAAGCGCAGUGCCCUGGGUCCCGGUCUGCUGUGGUGGGACCUCACACGGCAGACGGCAUCGGUGGCCCCCAAGGAAGAAGUGGCUGCCCUGGAUGACAGCCUGAUGAAGCAGGGUGCUGAGGAAUUGCCUUUGGGAAUCAAGAAGCCUCCUGACUUCCUGUCCACUAAUGAGGACCAUCUGCUCUUUCUGGGGCAGAAGGAGGUGAAUGGAGCCAGCUCCAAGACCCCAGGCAGUGAACAUGACAAAGGUGGAUGCUGAGGCCUGGAAAGGGGCAUUGACUUGGCCAAGGUCACAAAGCCAACCAGAGACUCAUGGAGAGCAGCUCUCCUUCCUUCAUCCCCUCCCUGUUUUCCUCCCUGUGGAGGGACAGACAUCACACAUGCUCUGAUCUUGGGGACAGGAGGGGAGGAAGAAGGAGAAAUAACAUCUUCAGCGUCUAGACACUUUAUGCAUCUCAUUUAUUAAGGACCAUGAACCCACUUCACAGAGGAAGAAACUGAGGCUCAGCGAGGUUGCCUGAGGUCACACAGGGAGUUGGGUCGGGGUAGGGAUAAGCCUGGUGCUGCAUGAUGCUGAGGCUCCAUUGACAACAUGUCACUGGUGUUCAGGGUCAGAUGGGCCCGGCUAGCUCAUGUGCCAGGGGCUUCGUCCACAUCGAAUAAAGGGACUCUCGAUGUUCUGGUCUCUCUGGAAAAGCAUUCUGGUCAUUGCCUCAGAUCUCCUCAGUCUGAGUGUGGGUCUCUGUAUCCCUUGCCUCAAGCCUGCAAAGAAUAAAUUUGCGUAUUUAAA
rnacentral:lncRNA from 1 species